ensembl:lncRNA
GAGGAAUAGGAGGAAUAGGUGGAGGAUAUUAAUGUAGAGGAGGAAUAGGUGGAGGAUAUUAAUGUAGAGGAGGAAUAGGUGGAGGAUAUUAAUGUAGAGGAGGAAGGAGGAAUAGGAGGAGGAAUAGGAGGAGGAUAUUAAUGUAGAGGAGGAAUAGGGGGCAUAGGAGGAGGAAGGAGGAAACACUUGAAUGAAUAUGCAUGAAUGACUGUGUGUGUGUGUCGUGUGUGUGCUGUGUAUCACCAGCCAGCCAGCACACCAUUCCUGAUCAAUGUCAUUCCACAAGAUCUGGGCCUGUAUUUACACUGUUUCUCAUCAAUGUCAUUCCACAAGAUCUGGGCCUGUAUUUACACUGUUUCUCAUCAACGUCAUUCCACAAGAUCUGGGCCUG